GCCACAUUAUUAUGCCUUAAUAUAUAAAAACCGGGGGAAUUCCCUGAUACUUCCCAGACUUUAUACAAAGGAGGAAAUCUUUUGAGCACUCAGGAGGAACUGAACCACUUUUUCUCUUUGUUUACCAACAUUUAAGGAACUUGUGUGAAGGCAUUUAAACUCUCGGCAUUUAAACUUUUGUGCAUUUAGUUAUUGAAACGUCUAAACUUAAAGCCAUUAUAACUUUCGGGCUUUUAGACUUAAAAGUUGACCAACUGUAAUUAUUUAAGCCUUAAGUUUCAGAGUUUAUAAAUUAGGAAACUAACUAAACUACAAUGGUACCGGGGGAUGAAAUAAUUUCGAUGUCCAAGAGUAAACAUUAUGAAUAUGAAGAAAAAACAAAAGUGAAAUGUUCUUGGAUCUGUGUGUUUCAAUUUGUUUGCUGUCUUCUUGCUGCUGUGUUUGUUAUGUUGGAUUAUUGUACGAACAUCAACCACCAUUUUCAGGAUGCUACCACUACAAGUGUUUCGUUUUAUCUUUCAAUGCUUGUGUUUGUGUUAUUGGUCAGUGUAUUAUAUCUGCUAAUGCUUUGUCCAUGUCAGCAAUACAGUUGGUUCAUACAGAUUCAUCAAAUGAUUGUUUUACUUGGAAUGAAACAUUUCAUCAAAGUGGAGUGGAGUGAAAAACAUCUUCUGGUUACGGCGGCUUAUACUGUGUUGGUGGGUUGUGUAUGUGGAGACUUGUUAACUGGAAUCACAAAGAAAAAUAAAGACAAGAAAAUUAACAAGGCUGCAGCUGUUGUGACUUCACUUAUACUUGGAAUAUUAAUGCAUACACUGGUUUAACAUUUAAGUUACACUUUACGAUAUACACUGUCUAACACAAAUAACUCGGAUAUAUCUCAUACAGGCAACGGAUAUGGCACUAACACAUACCACGAUAUUCAACCAACACAGCUGCAUUAUUAUGAUAGUUACUCUAAUUGUUGUCUCACUGCUCUGUCUUGUACUUAACAAAAUAUUCGAGAACAUUGGUAACUUCGAGGUAGUGAUGAUGAUAUUGCUGUCGAUACCCCUCACCUACUUGCUUGUUGCAAGUUGUGUUGUGUGUUGGUGGGUGGUACGUGUAUGUCUCGUGGUGAUUGGGGUGUGUGUAUAUAUCCCAUCGGUCGUUGUGGGUGUUAAUGGAGAUAAGAAGAAACCCGAACCUACUUUUGUGUGAAUUAUAGCAAUGUAUUAUUAUUAUGUGUAUACACUAUACACAUAUAGUACUGUGGGGAAAGAUGGAAUACAGUUAGCAACUAAAUUUCAUAUUUACUAACAGUGUUUUUAACAAUGCUCUUUUAGAGUGGUGAACAUACGGUUAUAUAUGUUUUCAUGUCCCGCUUCUACGUUUGUAUAAACUACUUUGCAUGACACACAAGUUGUAUACACAGUUUAUAAACAUUAUAUAAGUUGUACAAAGUUUUUCUUCAAUGUGUUUUGCUUAAAUUUAUUCAAAAUUAUACUUAAUACACGACACAUUGGUCUGCAUAAUACACAUUGAAACAAUGCAUAUUUACCAGUUUUAACAUUUGGUGCAACUUACUUUUUUUGCUAACUUUGUGUUGGAAUAAUAAACAGUAAACCAAGCUGCAAACUAACAAGGUGCUUACUAACAAACAAUACAACAGACUUGUUUUGUAAUAGAAAUUCAAUUACAAGUUUAAGUACCUCCUUCUUACAGUGUUUCUCUAUAUUGCGCAAUAAAACAAACACCUAUUGU